UACGUAGGGUGCGAGCGUUGUCCGGAAUUAUUGGGCGUAAAGAGCUCGUAGGCGGUUUGUCACGUCUGCUGUGAAAUCCCGAGGCUCAACCUCGGGCCUGCAGUGGGUACGGGCAGACUGGAGUGCGGUAGGGGAGAAUGGAAUUCCUGGUGUAGCGGUGGAAUGCGCAGAUAUCAGGAGGAACACCGGUGGCGAAGGCGGGUCUCUGGGCCGACACUGACGCUGAGGCGCGAAAGCCAGGGGAGCGAACGGG
rnacentral:rRNA from 1 species